UGGGAGAUCGUCUAGCGGUAGGACUCCGCUCUCUGAAAGCGGCAACCAUGGUUCGAAUCCAUGUCUCCCAG
rnacentral:tRNA from 2 species